UGCAGUCGACGGUGACGACGGGGCUUGCUCUGUCUGAUCAGUGGCGAACGGGUGAGUAACACGUGAGUAACCUGCCCCCGACUCUGGAAUAACCGUGGGAAACGACGGCUAAUACCGGAUAUGAGACGCACGGGCAUCUGUGUGUCUGGAAAGAUUUAUCGGUCAGGGAUGGACUCGCGGCCUAUCAGCUUGUUGGUGGGGUAAUGGCCUACCAAGGCGACGACGGGUAGCCGGCCUGAGAGGGCGACCGGCCACACUGGGACUGAGAUACGGCCCAGACUCCUACGGGAGGCAGCAGUGGGGAAUAUUGCACAAUGGGCGCAAGCCUGAUGCAGCGACGCCGCGUGAGGGAUGAAGGCCUUCGGGUUGUAAACCUCUUUCAGCAGGGAAGAAGCGAAAGUGACGGUACCUGCAGAAGAAGCGCCGGCUAACUACGUGCCAGCAGCCGCGGUAAUACGUAGGGCGCAAGCGUUGUCCGGAAUUAUUGGGCGUAAAGAGCUCGUAGGCGGUUUGUCGCGUCUGCUGUGAAAACCUGAGGCUCAACCUCGGGCUUGCAGUGGGUACGGGCAGACUAGAGUGCGGUAGGGGUGACUGGAAUUCCUGGUGUAGCGGUGGAAUGCGCAGAUAUCAGGAGGAACACCGAUGGCGAAGGCAGGUCACUGGGCCGCAACUGACGCUGAGGAGCGAAAGCAUGGGGAGCGAACAGGAUUAGAUACCCUGGUAGUCCAUGCCGUAAACGUUGGGCACUAGGUGUGGGGCUCAUUCCACGAGUUCCGUGCCGCAGCAAACGCAUUAAGUGCCCCGCCUGGGGAGUACGGCCGCAAGGCUAAACUCA
rnacentral:rRNA from 1 species